GCAGCCACUUCCCGAUCGCACGGAAGCCUCAGGAGCUCCGAUUCUGGCCCCACCUCGGCCGAGGCUGCACCGUCUGGGACCGGCUGAGGUCACCUGUGUGACUGCGAUAAACAGCACCGAGUGCUAGGGCUGGAACAGGGCCUCACACGUGCUGGGCGAGUGCUCUGCCACCCGGCUGGCCCAGGCCCUGUCCCCAUGGCCAUGGGAGGUCACCAGGAAGCGUCCAGGGUGUGAGCCCUGUCAAUGGCAGCAGGCUGGUUCAUUGAGAUUGGAGAUCUGCCCCCAACACCUGCCUUUAAGAAAGCGCACAGCCCCCAAGUGAGUGUGUGAAGCCCUCACCAGUCCAUGUCGUCGAGGCCCAAGAGGUGGCCGUGGGAGGACAGAGGCUGACAUGGAGAAGGCCGGGGAUGCCGUCCAGGAUGCCACGGAUUUCCAAAAGGAAAGCGGGGGGCGAUGGUGCACACCUGUGAUCGCAGCACUGAGGAGGCUGAGGCAGGAGGAUCACUGUGAGCUUGAGGCCAGCAUAGGCUGCACCAUGAAUUCAAGGCCAGAGUGAACUGCAUAGCAAAAUGACAGAGGGAAAAGGCAUUUUCUGAAGACAAGACUUGGCUCAAGGGGUGAGGGACCAGUGCAGCCACACAGCCGUGCACCCAAGGACCUGGCACUCAGAAGAGCCUGACACAGGCUGGUGACUAGACCCACUGUCCUGAGGUCCUUAACAGCUGGACCUUGAAAUUUGCAUUUUGGUUUGUUUGGGUUUUUUUUAAUGGAAGCUCUUUUAUUCACUUAUUUUGGAAUUUGCGUUCUGCAAGGAAACCUGGUAGAUAUCAGGCCUUCUGCAGGGUGUAGAAGCUCACACAGCCCUGCUUCCUGACACCCUGCCAAGGGUUCUCAAGGUUCCCCAGGCCCCUGGGGACCCCAUUUUGGCUCUCAGCAGGCUCUGGGCUGGGUACCUGGGCCUCAGAGCAUCUUGGGGCAGGGGCAUGGCAGCAGCAACAGUAAGCAACAGCAGGAGGCCCUGGCCUAGCAAGGGUCACCCAGGAUCCUGGCCCAGGACCAAGUCCCUGCCUGGAGGUAGGGCACAGGGAGGAGCAGGGGCAGGAGCGGGGAGAGACGCCUGGCGCGACCUCUCCAGGCCUGGGGCCAGUGAGUGGAGGGGACUGAGCCCUCACAGGUCCCCAGAUGCCUGAGGCUGGGUGUGUUUGUCCCUCUGGCUGGCUGGAGGCACCUCCAGGGACAAGCCACAGAAUAGGAAUUGUGUAAUUCCACACAUGAGCUAAAUGCUCUGGAAUUUGCAUUUAAGCUGACAUUGCACAAGAUAAAGAUGAAUGGUAAGAUUCAUGCUAAUAAUUUAAGUUUUCUUCUUUUCUUUUUGGUUUUG